GCCAGCCUCGUAUUAAUUAAGUUUAUGUGUACUUUGCCUUUGACAACGUUUAACUUGUUCUUUGUUCUUCUUAGUGAACUGAAGCAGCGACUACCUGGAGGUUACCCAGGCUGGCCUCGUUUCGCUCUAGCCUCGCUCCUAGGAUCUCCCCAGGAAGGAUCUUCCACACACACCUACCCGACGCCGAACUCUGGAACUUCCCCGGCUGGCUGCUUCUGGACCCGGAUUCUCCAGAGACCAUUCAACCUAACCUGUCCACCCUCCACCUCUUUGCUGACGCUUUGCCUGCACUCCAAGCUCUAACCCAAGUAACUAAGAAAUCAUCGGACUUACUAUUGACUCCAUAUUCACUUCUUCUCCAGUCCGAAUCCCUCUCCUCCUGGCGGAUUGCCUACUCCCUCCUAUUGUUCCUGCACACCAUACCGAUCCAUUCUCCUUAAAUAAACCUUUUUCAAACUUGUA